rnacentral:rRNA from 1 species
UACGUAGGGGGCGAGCGUUGUCCGGAGUUACUGGGCGUAAAGCGCACGCAGGCGGUCUGCUAAGUUUGAAGUGACAGUGGGUGGCUUAACUACCCAAGGCCUUUGAAAACUGGGGAACUUGAGGACCAGAGAGGGACAUAGAAUUCCGGGUGGAGUGGUGAAAUGCGUAGAUAUCCGGAGGAAUACCAAAGGCGAAGGCAGUGUCCUGGAGGGUUAACUGACGCUGAGGCGCGAAAGCUAGGGGAGCGAACAGG